rnacentral:lncRNA from 1 species
CAAGUAGCUGGGAUUACAGAUUCGUGCUACCACACCUGGCUCAUAUUUGUAUUUUUAGUAGAGAUGGGAUUUCACCAUGUUGGCCAGGCUGGUCUUGAACUCCUGACCUCAAGUGAUCCGCCUGCCUCGGACUCUCAAAGUGCUGAGAUUGCAGGUGUGAGCCACCAUGCCUGGGCUAACAGCUUUAUUUGAAAUACCUCAAACCUGAGAACAACUCAAAGGUUAAUCAACAGAUUAAUGGACAAACAAAUUGUGGUACAUCCAGACAACGAACUACUGCUUAACAAUCACAAUAACAACAACAACAAAAUGAAAUAUUGAGAUACAUAAAAACAUAGAUGAAUCUCAAAAUAAUUACGUUAAGUGCAAAAAGCCAGCUCCUCCAUGUAUAUACUGUAUGACUUCAUUUAUAUAAAAUUCUAGAAUAUGUAAGGUAAUCUAUAAUGAGAGAAAUAAGAUGCUGGCUACCUGAGGAUGGAGUUGGGGAGGAAGGAAAAAGAGGAAGGGAUUUCCAAGGGUGCUGAAUGUUAGGCUGAAACCUUAUCCCCAGUGCAUUAAUAUGAAGAGGUGCGGUCUCUGGGAGGGGAUUAGGUAGUGAGGGCUCUGUCCUCAUGUAGGGAUGAGUGCCCUUAUAAAAGAGGCCCAAAGGAGCUUCUGCCAUGUGAGGACACUGCAAAAAGGUGUCAUGUAUGAAGCAGGGAGCCCUCACCAGACACCAAAUCUGCUGGUGUCUUGAUUUUGGACUUCCCAGCCUCUGGAACUAUUAUUUCGGUAUGUCGUGCUGCUACUGCUCCUUGAAGCAUUUGGGUGGCAUUUUGUUUGCAGUUAGAACACCUACACCCAGAGAUUCUGCCUGUCCUCUUUGCAGCCCUUCUGUUGUGGAAAACACCUCUUCUCUGGAGCACAGGACAUAG